rnacentral:sRNA from 1 species
CCCUUUGUACACACCGCCCGUCGCUACUACCGAUUGAAUGGCUCAGUGAGGCGUUCGGACUGGCUCGGGGAGGUUGGCAACGACCACCCCAAGCCGGAAAGUUCGUCAAACUCGGUCAUUUAGAGGAAGUAAAAGUCGUAACAAGGUCUCCGUAGGUGAACCUGCGGAGGGAUCAUUACACAAUAAAAUACGAAGGCCGUUCGCGGCUGGACUAUUUAUUACCCUUGUCUUUUGCGCACUUGUUGUUUCCUGGGCGGGUUCGCUCGCCACCAGGACCACAAUAUAAACCUUUUUUAUGCAGUUGCAAUCAGCGUCAGUAUAACAAAUGUAAAUCAUUUACAACUUUCAACAACGGAUCUCUUGGUUCUGGCAUCGAUGAAGAACGCAGCGAAAUGCGAUACGUAGUGUGAAUUGCAGAAUUCAGUGAAUCAUCGAAUCUUUGAACGCACAUUGCGCCCUUUGGUAUUCCAAAGGGCAUGCCUGUUCGAGCGUCAUUUGUACCCUCAAGCUUUGCUUGGUGUUGGGCGUUUUUGUCUUUGGCCCGCCAAAGACUCGCCUUAAAAUGAUUGGCAGCCGGCCUACUGGUUUCGCAGCGCAGCACAUUUUUGCGCUUGCAAUCAGCAAAAGAGGACGGCAAUCCAUCAAGACUCCUUCUCACGUUGACCUCGGAUCAG